ACAACAGGUGGAGCCUGCGGUUUAAUCGGACUCAAACGCCGGGAAACUCACCAGAUAAGACAGCUGAAUGAUAGUCGGGCUGAAGGCUCUACUUGACUAGCUGAGAGGAGGUGCAUGGCCGUCGUCAGUUCGUACUGUGAAGCAUCCUGUUAAGUCAGGCAACGAGCGAGACCCACGCCAACAGUUGCCAGCUCGUCCUCCGGGAUGGUGGGGACACUGUUGGGACCGCCUCUGCUAAAGAGGAGGAAGGAAUGGGCAACGGUAGGUCAGCAUGCCCCGAAUUAUCUGGGCUACACGCGGGCUACAAUGGGUGGGACAAUGGGUAUCGACACCGAAAGGUGAAGGCAAUCUCCUAAACCCAUCCGUAGUUCGGAUUGUGGGCUGCAACUCGCCCACAUGAAGCUGGAAUCUGUAGUAAUCGUGUCUCAAAAUGGCACGGUGAAUAUGUCCCUGCUCCUU
rnacentral:rRNA from 1 species